CAAACAGGGUCAUUUUAUUCAAGGCAAGCUGAGUCCAGCACAGCUACACUGCCCUUCCAGUCCUUUUCUCUGACACCCAGGGCCUUGGCAUUGGAGCCAGGUUAUCAGCCCAGAAAAGACUCUUUCUUGUGAUCUAGAAGAAAGGAUCUGAGUGACAGGCUUAGGUGCGUUGUCUGCGUCCCAGGAACAGAGCAAAGCACACUGGCUCAGGCAUGAGGAAGCCACACCCCAAUCCUGCCUUUCAGGUGCCAAUGGAGAACAACCCCUUCAGCGGAACCAUGGUGCUUUACAUCUCUCUCUGAACUCUCAGAUCUCCUAAGUGGAGAUGGCUGAUUAAGGCUCUUAUCUUUCACGUUCUAAAAUCAAUUUAGUGUUGUUCGGAGCCAGCAAUGUUAAAAUAUAUUUGUAUUUUGAAACAAAGUUAACAUAGAGAAAUGAAAAAUAAAAUGUUGAGAAUUUUACAUUUAAUUGCAGAUAUAAUUCUGUGUUCUGUAUGUUACUUAGUUUUCUAUCUUAAAUAGUUUGAAGGUAAACACUUCUUUUAC
rnacentral:lncRNA from 10 species